UAGAUUGACUUUAUUUAUUAGCUGAAUAUAUAUCACUCAUCUAAUAGAGUUAAGUUCUAGUACUCACCUUCUUAAUCUCUUUACUAAAAAGAAAAAAGAGUUUUAAUUUGUCCUUCUCUCGUUCCAAACCUAAAAAGCGAGGGAUCAAAAGCAAAAUACAAUUAAAAGCGAAAUACUAAAACUUGAAUUAAUAAGGGAAGCAAAAACUUUAUCUCUCAAUGAAGAGAGCAACAAGGAUCACGAAAACCGUGGCAUGUAUGUAUCUGUAGGCAACAAUGAUCCUCACACUCAUUCCAUCACUGGCUGCAAGUUUGUAUAAUAUAUCAGAAUAUGCCAAAUGAACAACUACCAUAACCAAAACUUCCUUGAGCCCAUCUACCAACUUGCGAAUUUCCGACAAAAACUUCAUUUUGAGAUAUAUAUACUCAAAGAUUAUAUAUUAGUUGAUGAUAAACCUUCUUUGGCAAAUAGCAAGAUGAUAAAGAACCUAAUUACUCAAAAAAAAAGAUGAUAAAGAACCUAAUUUGGGUCGUCUAAUUAGACAAUAGAAUGGGUUCAAGAGGCUUGUGAUUUAUGGGAGGUAGCUGUACAUGACGGAAGGAUGUUUUCAAGUGAUGUUUUACCUCUUCAACGAAAUUGCUAGAAUUAAGAAAGCUAUAGACUUUUA
rnacentral:misc_RNA from 1 species